AUAGCGUAUAUUAAAGUUGCUGCAGUUAAAAAGCUCGUAGUUGAAUUUCGGGACCAAUAUGUCAGUCAUACCUCGGUACGCACUGGCUUAUAGGUUUCUCCCUUCUGACGAACCAUGAUGUCAUUAAUUUGGUGUCUUGGGGAAUCAGGACUGUUACUUUGAAAAAAUUAGAGUGUUUAAAGCAGGCUCACGCUUGAAUACAUUAGCAUGGAAUAAUGAAAUAGGACGUUUGAUUCUAUUUUGUUGGUUUCUAGGAUCGACGUAAUGAUUAAUAGGGAUAGUUGGGGGCAUUAGUAUUCAAUUGUCAGAAGUGAAAUUCUUGGAUUUAUUGAAGACUAACUACUG
rnacentral:rRNA from 1 species